UCUGUCGAACUGCUUUGCUUUAUCUUGGCCAGGUUGCAGUUGUAAAUGAGAACUUGUUCUCAACUUGCCUACCUGGUUAAAUAAAGGUGUUCUCAACCAGCCUACCUGGUUAAAUAAAGGUGUUCUCAACUAGCCUACCUGGUUAAAUAAAGGUGAAAUAAAUAAAAUAAAAUAAAUAAAAAUCCUCUGUCCUGAAUGUUCUGUUAGUUCCUGGUAUCAUCUGUCCUGUUCUGUUAGUUCCUGGUAUCCUCUGUCCUGAAUGUUCCGUUAGUUCCUUGUAUCGGCUGUCCUGUUCUGUUAGUUCCUGGUAUCCUCUGUCCUGUUCUGUUAAUUCCUGGUAUCCUCUGUCCUGAAUGUUCUGUUAGUUCCUGGUAUCCUCUGUCCUGUUCUGUUAGUUCCUGGUAUCCUCUGUCCUGAAUGUUCUGUUAGUUCCUGGUAUCCUCUGUCCUGACUGUUCUGUUAGUUCCUGGUAUCCAAUCCUCGACUUUGGCGAUGUCAUUUACAAAAUAGCCUCCAAUACCCUACUCAACAAAUUGGAUGCAGUCUAUCACAGUGCAAUCCGUUUUGUCACCAAAGCCCCAUAUACUACCCACCAUUGCGACCUGUACGCUCUCGUUGGCUGGCCCUCGCUUCAUACUCGUCGCCAAACCCACUGGCUCCAUGUCAUCUACAAGACCCUGCUAGGUAAAGUCCCCCCUUAUCUCAGCUCGCUGGUCACCAUCGCAUCUCCCACCUGUAGCACACGCUCCAGCAGGUAUAUCUCUCUAGUCACCCCCAAGACCAAUUCUUUCUUUGGCCGCCUCUCCUUCCAGUUCUCUGCUGCCAAUGACUGGAACGAACUACAAAAAUCUCUGAAACUGGAAACACUUAUCUCCCUCACUAGCUUUAAGCACCAACUGUCAGAGCAGCUCACAGAUUACUGCACCUGUACAUAGCCCACCUAAAAUUUAGCCCAAACAACUACCUCUUUCCCCACUGUAUUUAAUUUAUUUAUUUAUUUUGCUCCUUUGCACCCCAUUAUUUUUAUUUCUACUUUGCACAUUCUUCCACUGCAAAUCUACCAUUCCAGUGUUUUACUUGCUAUAUUGUAUUUACCUUGCCACCAAGGCCUUUUUUGCCUUUACCUCCCUUAUCUCACCUCAUUUGCUCACAUCGUAUAUAGACUUGUUUAUACUGUAUUAUUGACUGUAUGUUUGUUUUACUCCAUGUGUAACUCUGUGUCGUUGUAUCUGUCGAACUGCUUUGCUUUAUCUUGGCCAGGUUGCAGUUGUAAAUGAGAACUUGUUCUCAACUUGCCUACCUGGUUAAAUAAAGGUGUUCUCAACCAGCCUACCUGGUUAAAUAAAGGUGUUCUCAACUAGCCUACCUGGUUAAAUAAAGGUGAAAUAAAUAAAAUAAAAUAAAUAAAAAUCCUCUGUCCUGAAUGUUCUGUUAGUUCCUGGUAUCAUCUGUCCUGUUCUGUUAGUUCCUGGUAUCCUCUGUCCUGAAUGUUCCGUUAGUUCCUUGUAUCGGCUGUCCUGUUCUGUUAGUUCCUGGUAUCCUCUGUCCUGUUCUGUUAAUUCCUGGUAUCCUCUGUCCUGAAUGUUCUGUUAGUUCCUGGUAUCCUCUGUCCUGUUCUGUUAGUUCCUGGUAUCCUCUGUCCUGAAUGUUCUGUUAGUUCCUGGUAUCCUCUGUCCUGUUCUGUUGGUUCCUGGUAUCCUCUGUCCUGA
rnacentral:lncRNA from 13 species